UGGGGUGUAGCCAAGCGGUAAGGCAAUGGAUUUUGAUUCCAUCACGCGUAGGUUCGAUCCCUGCCACCCCAG
rnacentral:tRNA from 1 species